GACGAACACUGGCGGCGUGCCUAAUACAUGCAAGUUGAGCGCUGAAGGUUGGUACUUGUACCAACUGGAUGAGCAGCGAACGGGUGAGUAACGCGUGGGGAAUCUGCCUUUGAGCGGGGGACAACAUUUGGAAACGAAUGCUAAUACCGCAUAAAAACUUUAAACACAAGUUUUAAGUUUGAAAGAUGCAAUUGCAUCACUCAAAGAUGAUCCCGCGUUGUAUUAGCUAGUUGGUGUGGUAAAGGCUCACCAAGGCGAUGAUACAUAGCCGACCUGAGAGGGUGAUCGGCCACAUUGGGACUGAGACACGGCCCAAACUCCUACGGGAGGCAGCAGUAGGGAAUCUUCGGCAAUGGACGAAAGUCUGACCGAGCAACGCCGCGUGAGUGAAGAAGGUUUUCGGAUCGUAAAACUCUGUUGGUAGAGAAGAACGUUGGUGAGAGUGGAAAGCUCAUCAAGUGACGGUAACUACCCAGAAAGGGACGGCUAACUACGUG
rnacentral:rRNA from 1 species